rnacentral:sRNA from 1 species
GCUGGGCAUAGUGGCGCAUGCCUGCAAUCCCAGUGGUUUGGGAGGCUGAGGCAAGAGGAUCGAGAUUUCAAAGCCAGCCUUAGCAAAAGUGAGGUGCUAAGCAACCCAGUGAGACCCUGUCUCUA